rnacentral:rRNA from 1 species
UGGGGAAUAUUGGGCAAUGGGCGCAAGCCUGACCCAGCGACGCCGCGUGGGUGAUGAAGGCCUUCGGGUCGUAAAGCCCUGUCGGGUGGAAAGAAUGGUGAGACGGCGAAUAGCCGUGUCACGUGACGGUACCACCGAAGGAAGCACCGGCCAAUUCCGUGCCAGCAGCCGCGGUAAGACGGAAGGUGCAAGCGUUGCUCGGAAUCAUUGGGCGUAAAGGGUGCGUAGGCGGCUUGGGAAGUCUGGUGUGAAAGCCCCGGGCUCAGCCCGGGAAGGGCACUAGAAACUGCCAAGCUAGAGUGCCGGAGGGGAGAGUGGAAUUCCUGGUGUAGCGGUGAAAUGCGUAGAGAUCAGGAGGAAUACCGGUGGCGAAAGCGACUCUCUGGACGGCAACUGACGCUGAGGCACGAAAGCGUGGGGAGCAAACAGGAUUAGAUACCCCCGUAGUCC